rnacentral:rRNA from 1 species
AUGCCACUUCUGACCAGCACCUGGCCUAAUGCCAUGAACUACAUUGUCACAUUAAACUGCAGGGACAAGUUCUAUCAGUCCUCUCUCGACAAAUCCAACAGUACAGGUUUUCCGGGGUGCCAAGUAUUGCCGGCGGCGAUGCCUGCAUCAUGGCCCAUUGAGGAGAUCAUGCCGUUAGUUGUAACUUGGUGGUGCAGACUUGGUAGCGGUGAUAUCUUGGUUCGAUUAUAUAUCAACAACAGUGCAAUGACUGAAAAAUCAUCAGUUCAAAAUAUAUAUGCAGGAGAGGUUCAAAGAUUGUCGUGGAACAAGUUAAAGAGUUCAGUACACCUGCGUCAGUCAUCCAUCAUCUUCUGA